GUGGUGCAAGCUCAAGCCCUUGAAAUUUCAGCCACUUGUGUGAGGAAUAAGUUUUAUUUUUUCGAACGCCAAAACUCAUCGUUUAUCAUUAACUUAACGACGCCUUCUUCGUCGUUUUGAGGGUUUUCAGAUUCAGCUCUUUCUCCACUUAUCCAGGAACGCGCGAUUUCGGUGCUUCUCCGUCGUCGUUUUGUUUAAAUCCUUCUAAUUAAGCUUUGAUAAUCACCGUUAAUGGAAACUUCACCAACAACUAAUCCUGGACCGCUUGAUCCUUGUGUACUUUAUGACCAAGAUAAACACGUCUCCUCUGCUGUUUGGGACGGCCAGGAGCGUGGUGCACUUAGAUGUCAUGAACAUACUUCAAAGUUAGGAGAGUGGAGGUUGAUGCCGAGACAGAUUGAGUUAGUAGAAAAAGCUGGAUUUGGUUACUUAAGAAAGAUUCCUGCAAUUAGUUUAGAUAAUCCGUUGAUAUCUGCACUGGUUGAGAGAUGGAGGCGAGAGACUAAUACAUUUCAUUUCAUUGUUGGAGAGAUGACUGUGACUCUUCAAGAUGUAGCAUUAAUGUUAGGCUUAGCAAUUGAUGGCAAACCUGUGAUUGGGGUAACGCACACUACUUGUAGUUCAAUUUGUCAUAAGUAUUUGGGGAAAGCUCCGGAUUCAAAUCAUGCGAGUGGUGGGAUGGUGAAGCUGAGUUGGUUGAAGGAGUAUUUUUCUAAUUGUCCUGAAAAUGCAUUAACUGAAGAAGUGGAAAGGCAUACCAGAGCUUAUUUGUUGUACCUUGUGGGAAGUACCAUAUUUUCUACUACUACUGGGAAUAAGGUGCCUGUGAUGUAUCUUCCGUUGUUUGGGGAUUUUGAGGAUGCAGGAACAUAUGCAUGGGGUGCAGCAACAUUGGCAUUCUUGUAUAGAGCUCUUGGGAAUGCUUCUGUUAAAUCUCAAAGUACUAUCUGUGGGUGUUUGACACUACUACAGUGUUGGAGCUAUUAUCAUCUGAAUAUAGGCCGGCCGAAGCUUCAUAGGGAUCCCGUCCACGAUCAUUUUCCAUUUGUAUUGAGGUGGAAGGGAAAACAGAGUGGCCCAACAAUUAAUCGAGAUGUAAUUUUUUACCGUAAAGCAUUAGAUUCCCUGAAGCCAUCUGAUGUGGAGUGGCUUCCUUACAAAUAUAUAGACAGCACAGUAAUACCAGAAGAUAUCAAAAGUACUCUGAUUUUGGGGAGAUCAAGAACUAUGUUGAUAUGCUUUGACAAGGCAGAAAGACACCUUCCUGAUCGCUGUCUACGGCAAUAUGGCAUGCUUCAAGCAAUCCCAGAAGAUGUGCCACGAUGGGUUAGAAAGAGUCGUGGGGUUGAUGGUGGGGUGGAUUUGUCAGGGAAAAUGGAGUCAGAACUUAGUGAAUGGUCGGACCGUAGACUUCAUGUUGUGGAUGAUGAUGAGAAUGCAGAUGAAAAUGUAUACAUGCAGUGGUACUUGAGAAUUACUCGUAAAGUUGUGGGAAGACCUAUCUCUCUCUCAUCUGAGUUUCAGAGAACAAUUUCUGGUUUAAGGGACAUUGCAUACUUAGCAGAUACAUUCUCAACAAAGGGAUUGGAUGCUCAACAAUAUGAGUCCAUUUCCAGGAUAAGGUGUAUUGCAGAGGAGUGUUUGCGGGACCAAGUUGAAAGUCAAGCUGUUGUAACAGCCACCCCAGUUACAGAACUUGGGAAACGGUCAAGGGGUAAAGAAAGAGUGAGAAGGAAGAAUUCUGGAAAAAGGAAACGGGAUAAUUACCCCAUGGAAGGUCCUGCAGCUAGUGAGGAUGAAUCUCAAUUAUGUGGAGCUAUUGUUGAGGUUGAUCAAAUACACUUACCUCAUGCCAGUGUUGAUGUUCAUCACUUACAGCUCACCCAUGCAGUUCGUGGGAGUGAUCCACAGAUGUGUUUUGAUGAUGCAGUUGAAAAGGUUGAUGACUCAGAGCUCUGUGAUGCAGCUAAUGAGGUCGAUGAUUGUCAACUCUAUGAUGCAGCUAAUGUGGUCAAUGGCUCCCAGUUCUAUGAUGCAACUGCAGAGGUCAUUGACUCUCAGUUCACUCAUGUUGUUAGUGUGGAUGAUCCCCAAACUGUCAAAGUGUCAGAAGAGGUUGUUAUGCAGUCAUCUCAGCUUUAUGACACAUCUAAUGAUGUUAAUGACUCAAAAAUUUAUGAAGCAACUGACGAGGAGGUCAAGGACUCACAAAUGUCACAAAUAUCUAAUGCUACUGAUGAGGUUGGGGGAACGCAAAUUCCUGAUUCUACUGCUGAUGCCAACAACUUGCAAACUUAUGAUAAAAAUGCCGAGGUUGAUGACUCACAAAUAUGUGAUACAACUGUCAAGCUCAGAGGUACACAGGUUUCUGGUGAGCCUGAUACUUAUACUGCCAAGAUGGUGGAAGAGGUCGUUUCACAGUCAUCUCUUGGGACUGUUGAGGAUGUUGCAAAGCAGGGUGAUGACAACAUCAUAGCAUAAAAUGGAAGGCAUUUUCAUGCACUUUUAGAGAGGCCACCAGUCUCACAACUAAUCAAAUGCUUUUACAUUGUCUGCUAAGAUGAUUCAAUAUGGCUGUCUCACAUUCAUCUUUCUGGAUUAUUAGAAGUGCUAUUCUGAUGUAUAUCUACGAAAAAAGAUUCACCGGGCUUUUUCUUUGAUUUUCUGCAUCCAAACAAGGUGAUCCGACGAAACACACUUAGUGGUCCACAGACAUAUUUUCUCUGUGAAGAAAAAUUUACAGAUCCUCGUCUUGCUCAAUGAUCAACUUUCUACUAGACCGUAGAGUUUUGGAUUCAGUGGUUUGGUUGGCAUUGUUUCUGCUGUCUUGGAAAUGUUCUGCUACCGUAGGCUCCUCUUUAAGGACAUAAGUUCAGAAGUAUGCAUUGCAGUGCCUUCUGCGCCAUCUGUAAAUGGGCUUUCUGCCUGAUCUAGGGUUUUGGAUUUUGGACAUCUUGUAGUUGGCAAGGCCCCGGAGAAGUCUCCAUAAUGCAUGUAAUGUACCUAAACGAGUCUGACCAAUCCUUUAAAGCCCGAUGUGUGUUAGUUGUUGAACAAAAAGAGCCUGGACGAUCAAACGAAGAGGCAUCAACGCAUGCCUCUUGUGAUAGCUUUUGGUAGCUGCAUACUGAACCCUUACUCUUCUCGGGAUAUAUGCUGUUAACCAUUAAGAACAUCAUCAACAAAAACAAUUAUCCCUUGAGCUUAUUUUUACACUGUUCUAGAUA